UUGACAUGUGAAGCAAGCUUGUUCCUAAUUUGAACUAAAAAAAUUACAAAAAAAAAGUUUGUGAGGAGUGCAAAAGCAACAGUUUUUGAUAAAUUACCAAACUUCUAGGUACACACUCAAGUCUAUUUCUGUUUCUACCACACAGCAUCAGACAAAUUGGUCUCCUAUCCAUUUCUGUUUUUUUAUUUUCAUUUGAAAUAUCUCCAUUCUUGCUAAUCAGUAACCUUUGUGUUAGUCCAUAUUCUCCAGAGGAGAAACAACAGACUUAGAAGAAUAAAAGAUUUAUUAGAGAAGUUGAUUUGGAUGAUUAUGGAGGCUAAGAAUUCCCCCCAAAGAUCGCAUCUGCAGCACAGAGGCCAUGGGAUGCCAGUACAAGGCUGGAAUCUCAGAACAAGGCAAACUGAUGAUGUCACUCAGGCCAAGACCAGAAGUCUGAAGAUCCAGGAGUGCCUGGUACUCCUGUUUCUAAAGGGAAGACAACACUCAAUAUCAAUGCCUGAAAUGCAAGGGGACACCAUAUUGGAGCAGAGUUAGCCCCUGUUCUCCUGGAAAGAAAAUGGAUGUGGAUUUCCACAGGGUGAUCACCCUGUGAAGAUGAAAAGCAGAGCUGAGAGGAGCCUUACUACCAAUAUAUUACAACCUUGGUUUUCAGCUUUUAAAAUCCUAAAUGUGAAGACAAUAAAGUUCUAUAUUUAAGCCA